GACAUUACCAAGUGUGACAUGAUUUUGAAAUCUGCUAAGGGAGGAAUGAAGAGGAUCCGGUAAGAGAGCUGUAAGCACAUCAUUCAGUUCAGGAUGUACUGGAAAUUUAGCAAGCACCGGCAAAUUCCAUGUUCCCUUUUUUGGAAUCAUUUUGUUUCAUGGCUUCUCUGCUCUUCAAGUCCCUACAGCUAGAGACUUCAACUCUCACGGCCCACAGCCAGAGGCCGGUAAACAUGGCGAAAGCAAAAGCUUUAUCGAACAUCCGUUCAGGAGCCCAGCCCUGUGGAUUCUGGGAGGAGAGGAUUGUCUUGGAUAAGGAAUAUAACUCAGCCGCUUUCCAGUGACCACGGCGGUGUUAUCACAAGCAAAGUGUAUGGAUUCUCCUUGCUGCUCCCUGCUUUACCCAAAGGGCCACCCAGGUAUCCAAGGGGCCGAGGAGAGUGGUAGCCUCCUCUUAAACCAUGUGGAGACCUUAAUGGGUGGGAAUUAUGAGUAGAGUUAUCCACUGUGGGUCACUGUUCUUUCCGCAUUAAAGAACGGGCUGAAUUGGGCUGUUCCCCAUUGAGAAUUCAUGAGGAUAGUCACCCCUUUUUUUAAUUGGUCCUGUAUAAUGGGUUUCAAUCCUUGGUAAUACUAUUCACUUUACAUCGAGUUGAAUUAAUUAUUUUUAAUGGAGGGCAAGGGGGUAGGUCCAUGGAGUCUAACUGUGUCUAGUCAACUUGUAAGGUGCAUGAAACCUAAUUUGAUUUUAAUUUAUUAGCCAUUGUGUCACAUUGUCCACAUCCAUUUUGUAAUAUUUUAGGGCUAUGGAUGCUGCGAUGAUGGGAAUUUAGGCAAGACAGGAAUUCCAGGGAUUAAGGUGAGGGAUACUUGUUUGUCCUCUAUUUUAUUUUUUUAAU
rnacentral:lncRNA from 1 species